rnacentral:rRNA from 1 species
UACGUAGGGUGCAAGCGUUAAUCGGAAUUACUGGGCGUAAAGCGUGCGCAGGCGGUUGUGCAAGACAGAUGUGAAAUCCCCGGGCUUAACCUGGGAACUGCAUUUGUGACUGUACGGCUAGAGUGCGGCAGAGGGGGAUGGAAUUCCGCGUGUAGCAGUGAAAUGCGUAGAUAUGCGGAGGAACACCGAUGGCGAAGGCAAUCCCCUGGGCCUGCACUGACGCUCAUGCACGAAAGCGUGGGGAGCAAACAGG